AAAUAAAAAUACCCUUACCCGCCAGUGUCUUGUAACAAUUUUUAAAGUUGCAACAUUGAAGCGAACUGAAGUACUUAUUGACAAAUGAGAAAUGACAGCACUUGACAAUGACACUGUCUUGUCAUACGACAUAUACACUUAAACAAUAACUUGACAAAGAAACCUAUUCUUUAUCUAAGCACAAUAAUAGCAUUAUCAAUUUAUCAGUAAAAUUAACUAUUCAAAAACUUUAAAUCUACCUCUUACAAAUAUGAAAUAAAGAAAAAGUUAAACUUAUAAAUUAAUACAAAGAAUAGACGGUAAAUAAAUAAGUACUAAUAAACAAGUAACAAAGAACAGACGAAAUGAGUAAAAUUUAAGGUGGGUUUUGGCGCUCCAUAUCAUGCUCCUCGACUCCAAAUCACAAAACUUAAUAAGAAUCGGCCUCGGAAUGGAUCUUGUGGUGUUAAGCUUACCCAACCGAUGGCAACGUUUAAUUGAAGAAGUGAUGUUAAAGUUGGACAACUUCAAAUGGUUAGUCACCAUAUCUGACACAGCCUUGACGGGGUCCUUUUCUUCUUCAGACACACCAUGAACGAGGAGGAUUUUCUUGCGGUUUCUCACUUCCAUCUGGUCAUACAUGUCAGCAAGUGCUUCUACUUGCAACUGUAGAGACUUCAAAGCAGAUAAAAUAAAUUCCUUAAAUGCAUUAAAUUCUAAGGUCAGCUUCGUACUUGGACUUGCUGUUUGUGAAGUCGUUUGCUGGAGAUCCUGUUGGAACUGAGCCAUUUUAGUGUGAAAAACCUGUGACAUCUCAGCCAUUGACUGUUUAAUUGAAUCCAUUAUGCUUCAGUUCUUGAGAAAGUAGUAGAAUAUUUCAAAACAAUUGUAUAAAGGUGAAAAUGAUUCAAUAGAACACUGGUAGGAUAAGGUAUCAAUUUUACAUAAUAUUUUGUUCAAAACCCAUUGAUUUACUUGUUUAAAAUUGUAUUAAUUAAAGAGCGAAAAUU